AGAAGAAGGGGAAAAAGAAAAGGAAAGGAGGUGGUGACGAGGAAGUUGGAAGAGCCUAUCGACCAGUUUAGGUUCAGCUUGUGUUAUAUAGAAGCUGCGUUGAGCCAUAUCAGAGCCUGUCGUUGACGAGUUGAGCUUCAUCGUGUCCUUGUUUGUAUGUCUCAUUUUGUUAAUUCAUACAACAUAUAUUUUGGGGGUUAAUGUAUUUUGUAUCAAAAAUGUAUUAAGUCUCAUACCCAUUGCA